rnacentral:rRNA from 1 species
GAUGAACGCUGGCGGCGUGCCUAAUACAUGCAAGUCGAGCGAAUGGAUUAAGAGCUUGCUCUUAUGAAGUUAGCGGCGGACGGGUGAGUAACACGUGGGUAACCUGCCCAUAAGACUGGGAUAACUCCGGGAAACCGGGGCUAAUACCGGAUAACAUUUUGAACCGCAUGGCUCGAAAUUGAAAGGCGGCUUCGGCUGUCACUUAUGGAUGGACCCGCGUCGCAUUAGCUAGUUGGUGAGGUAACGGCUCACCAAGGCAGCGAUGCGUAGCCGACCUGAGAUGGUGAUCGGCCACACUGGGACUGAGACACGGCCCAGACUCCUACGGGAGGCAGCAGUAGGGAAUCUUCCGCAAUGGACGAAAGUCUGACGGAGCAACGCCGCGUGAGUGAUGAAGGCUUUCGGGUCGUAAAACUCUGUUGUUAGGGAAGAACAAGUGCUAGUUGAAUAAGCUGGCACCUUGACGGUACCUAACCAGAAAGCCACGGCUAACUACGUGCCAGCAGCCGCCGUAA